rnacentral:rRNA from 1 species
ACGCUGGCGGCAGGCCUAACACAUGCAAGUCGAGCGGAAACGACACUAUCAAUCCUUCGGAUGCGUUAAUGGGCGUCGAGCGGCGGACGGGUGAGUAAUGCCUAGGAAAUUGCCUUGAUGUGGGGGAUAACCAUUGGAAACGAUGGCUAAUACCGCAUAAUGCCUACGGGCCAAAGAGGGGGAUCUUCGGACCUCUCGCGUCAAGAUAUGCCUAGGUGGGAUUAGCUAGUUGGUGAGGUAAUGGCUCACCAAGGCGACGAUCCCUAGCUGGUCUGAGAGGAUGAUCAGCCACACUGGAACUGAGACACGGUCCAGACUCCUACGGGAGGCAGCAGUGGGGAAUAUUGCACAAUGGGCGAAAGCCUGAUGCAGCCAUGCCGCGUGUAUGAAGAAGGCCUUCGGGUUGUAAAGUACUUUCAGUUGUGAGGAAGGGKGURWMGUUAAUAGCKKYRYMUCUUGACGUUAGCAACAGAAGAAGCACCGGCUAACUCCGUGCCAGCAGCCGCGGUAAUACGGAGGGUGCGAGCGUUAAUCGGAAUUACUGGGCGUAAAGCGCAUGCAGGUGGUUCAUUAAGUCAGAUGUGAAAGCCCGGGGCUCAACCUCGGAACUGCAUUUGAAACUGGUGAACUAGAGUGCUGUAGAGGGGGGUAGAAUUUCAGGUGUAGCGGUGAAAUGCGUAGAGAUCUGAAGGAAUACCAGUGGCGAAGGCGGCCCCCUGGACA